AACGAACGCUGGCGGCAUGCCUAACACAUGCAAGUCGAACGAAACCUUCGGGUCUAGUUGCUCACGGGUGCGUAACGCGUGGGAACCUGCCCUUAGGUUCGGAAUAACUCCCCGAAAGGGGUGCUAAUACCGGAUAAUGUCUUCGGACCAAAGAUUUAUCGCCUUUGGAUGGGCCCGCGUUGGAUUAGCUAGUUGGUAGGGUAAAAGCCUACCAAGGCGACGAUCCAUAGCUGGUCUGAGAGGAUGAUCAGCCACACUGGGACUGAGACACGGCCCAGACUCCUACGGGAGGCAGCAGUGGGGAAUAUUGGACAAUGGGCGAAAGCCUGAUCCAGCGAUGCCGCGUGAGUGAUGAAGGCCUUAGGGUUGUAAAGCUCUUUUAGCCGGGAUGAUAAUGACAGUACCGGGAGAAUAAGCCCCGGCUAACUCCGUG
rnacentral:rRNA from 1 species